rnacentral:rRNA from 1 species
UACAGAGGGUGUGAGCGUUAAUCGGAGUUACUGGGCGUAAAGGGCGCGUAGGCGGUUAUAUAAGUGAGAUGUGAAAUCCCUGGGCUUAACCUAGGAACUGCAUCUCAUACUGUAUGACUGGAGUAUUGUAGGAGGGUAGUGGAAUUUCCGGUGUAGCGGUGAAAUGCGUAGAGAUCGGAAAGGAACACCAGUGGCGAAGGCGGCUACCUGGACAAAUACUGAC